UACGAGGGGGGCGAGCGUUGUUCGGAAUUAUUGGGCGUAAAGGGUGCGUAGGCGGUUUGGUAAGUCUGAUGUGAAAUCUAUGGGCUCAACUCAUAGUCUGCAUCGGAAACUGCCCGGGCUUGAGUGUGGGAGAGGUGAGUGGAAUUCCUGGUGUAGCGGUGAAAUGCGUAGAUAUUCGGAAGAACACCAGUGGCGAAGGCGGCUCGCUGGACAAGUAUUGACGCUGAGGUGCGAAAGCGUGGGGAGCAACAGGAGUUAGAAAC
rnacentral:rRNA from 1 species